UACGAAGGUGGCAAGCGUUGUUCGGAUUUACUGGGCGUACAGGGAGCGUAGGCGGUUGGAUAAGCCCUCCGUGAAAUCUCCAGGCUUAACCUGGAAAGUGCAGAGGGGACUGUUCAGCUAGAGGAUGGGAGAGGAGCGCGGAAUUCCCGGUGUAGCGGUGAAAUGCGUAGAGAUCGGGAGGAAGGCCGGUGGCGAAGACGGCGCUCUGGAACAUUUCUGACGCUGAGGCUCGAAAGCGUGGGGAGCAAACAGG
rnacentral:rRNA from 1 species